UUAUUUUUCCCAUAAUUUAGUAAGUAUGUCUGGUCCUCGGAACACGGUGAAACUCCGUGACGGUCCCGCCGCUGUAAUCGGAAAUAUUUAUUUUGCAAUUGCCACUGUUCACACGGGAAGGCGCAAAUAACAAAUUCAAUGCCGAAAGUCAGAAGACGAACCAGAUAUUCAAAAUUCGUG
rnacentral:ncRNA from 22 species